rnacentral:misc_RNA from 1 species
UAAUCAAAGUGUUUUUAUGGCACUUUUAAAAAAAUCCAUAUCCACCUUGUGUGCAAUGUCAUCUCACUGGAGGCCAGCUGGCUGUCAAAAGCCCGUUUGGUCACCUUUGGGAUUUAUAUCUACUCAGAACUUUAGUGAUUUUGUCUGAAAAAUAUUAUGAAUAACUUAAUUCAAAAUA